AGAGUUUGAUCCUGGCUCAGAGCGAACGCUGGCGGCGCGCUUAACACAUGCAAGUCGAACGUGAACGGGGCAACCCUAGUAAAGUGGCGUACGGGUGAGUAACACGUAGGUAAUCUACCUUACAGUCUGGAAUAACCGGCCGAAAGGCUGGCUAAUACUGGAUAGAGCGACGGAAGUCAUAAUGACUUUUUCGGGAAAGGGAGCUCGAUAAGGGCCUUCGCUGUAGGAUGAGCCUGCGUCUGAUUAGCUAGUUGGUGAGGUAAUGGCUCACCAAGGCGAUGAUCAGUAGCUGGUCUGAGAGGAUGAUCAGCCACACUGGAACUGAAACACGGUCCAGACUCCUACGGGAGGCAGCAGUGGGGAAUCUUGCGCAAUGGACGAAAGUCUGACGCAGCCACGCCGCGUGAGUGAAGAAGGCCUUCGGGUUGUAAAGCUCUGUCACCUGGGACGAAAACACUUACGGUUAAUAGCCGUAGGAAUUGACGGUACCAGGGGAGGAAGCACCGGCUAACCUCGUGCCAGCAGCCGCGGUAAUACGAGGGGUGCAAGCGUUGCUCGGAAUUAUUGGGCGUAAAGGGUUGGUAGGUGGUCUUGUUUGUCUAAGGUGAAAUCCCAUGGCUUAACUGUGGAAGUGCCCUAGAAACGGCAAGACUAGAGUCCUAGAGGGGUUUGUGGAGUUCCCGGUGUAGCGGUGAAAUGCGCAGAGAUCGGGAGGAACACCAGCGGCGAAGGCGGCAAACUGGAUAGGAACUGACACUCAACAACGAAAGCGUGGGGAUCAAACAGGAUUAGAUACCCUGGUAGUCCACGCUGUAAACGAUGGGUACUAGGCUUUGUGGGAAUAGACCCCUGCAGAGCCGGAGCUAACGCAAUAAGUACCCCGCCUGGGAAGUACGGUCGCAAGACUAAAACUCAAAGGAAUUGACGGGGGCCCGCACAAGCGGUGGAUCAUGUGGUUUAAUUCGAAGCAACGCGCAAAACCUUACCUGGGUUUGACAUCCUCGGACCGCUGUAGAAAUACAGUUUUUGUAGCAAUACAACCGAGAGACAGGUGCUGCAUGGCUGUCGUCAGCUCGUGUGGUGACAUGUUGGGUUAAGUCCCGCAACGAGCGCAACCCUUGUCUUUAGUUGCCAGCAUUAAGUUGGGCACUCUAGAGAGACUGCCGUGGUUAACACGGAGGAAGGUGGGGAUGACGUCAAGUCCUCAUGGCCUUUAUAUCCAGGGCGACACACGUGAUACAAUGGAUGACACAAAGGGAAGCGAACCCGCGAGGGGGAGCGAAUCUCAAAAAGUCAUUCUCAGUUCGGAUUGGAGUCUGCAACUCGACUCCAUGAAGCUGGAAUCGCUAGUAAUCGCGGAUCAGAACGCCGCGGUGAAUACGUUCCCGGGCCUUGUACACACCGCCCGUCACGCCAUGGGAGCUGACUCAACCAGAAAACGUUAUCGCUAACCGUAAGGAUGCGACCGUUGAAGGUGGGGUUGGUGACUGGGGUGAAGUCGUAACAAGGUAGCCGUAUCGGAAGGUGCGGCUGGAUCACCUCCUU
rnacentral:rRNA from 1 species